rnacentral:misc_RNA from 1 species
GCCUUUCGGCCGAUUUCUAAAAGAUUUCAGGCUAUAUUUAAAUAAAACACAUAAUGUUAAGUAAUAAGAUGGCAAGCUGGUACUAAUCAGGGAAUGAACCCCCUCAUAAUACCAAACAAUCUCACCGGGGUGAGAUCUCUUACCAAAGACAAUAUACAGUGCACAAAAAGCAAAAAGCGAAGACCGCUCUACUUUUAUUAAUGAUCCAACCGCAGGUUCACCUACGGUUACCUUGUUACGACUUUUACUUCCUCUAAAUGACCAAGA